rnacentral:misc_RNA from 1 species
UCUAAUCUAGCAACUACUUCACUGAGGUUCCUCACUAAUUCAUCAAGUUUGUGCAAUAAAACUUCCUGCUGGUAGGAUUGAGUUGUAGUUUCAGUCUCAGAUUCAUGAUAAGGAGAGUGGUGUUCGUCAUGAUCAAGUUGGGUAGGGGCUGAGCUAGAGUAGUUCAGCAAAAUUGAAGCCAAAAUGAAAAGCAAAUAGAGAAAAGAGAGCAACUUGCCUUGGUGGGUGUUUGCCAUUGGAGAAGCAUGGGUCAGUGUGUUGUUGUUGCCAUAUAAAUUGUACUGGCAAGCGUGAAGUUGCAGAUCUUUGGGUUUGGAUCCAAAGAUUGGAGAGAAUUUAGCCGGAAUCUAUGUUAGAUUUGAUGAAUCUCAGAGUAGAGAAUAUAGGGAUUUUGGAUCAGAAGAAAGAAGAAGCGCCUUCUUUUUCUAUUUUUGAGGUUCUUGACAUGGGCG